rnacentral:piRNA from 1 species
CAUUGGUUCCCCAGAGAGUGCAC